UACAGAGGAGCCAAGCGUUGUCCGGAUUGACUGGGCGUAAAGCGCACGCAGGCGGGUGUGCGCGUGGGGGGUGAAAUCUGGCCGCUUAACGGCCAGGCGCCAUCCCAUACGGCACGCCUGGAGUGAUGCAGAGGUCGAUGGAAUUGCCGGUGUAGUGGUGAAAUGCGUAGAUAUUCGGAAGAACACCAGUGGCGAAGGCGACUUACUGGACACAUAUUGACGCUGAGGUGCGAAAGCGUGGGGAGCAAACAGG
rnacentral:rRNA from 1 species